rnacentral:other from 1 species
UGCCGCCUGCAGGGUUCGAUGCUCAGAGGUGCCCUUUUGCUCGAGCCGUGCUGAACCCCUUGGGAACGCGGAUGCACGGGCCGCGAUGGUCAAGCCUCCUUCGAGUGGAAGGCCGGGACGGUCCGACGCGUACCCACCUUUUUGAGCGGGUUCGACGCAACGCCCUCGAUCGGCCCAGGCGGACGGCGG